CAUGCUUGCCUGACCCAGCUGCCCUGCUGCCCUGAGCACUUGGCUGAGGGUGGCAGAAGCACUCAGCUAACCCAAAGUGACACAUGCCUGGUGGGACAUACAGGAUACACAAA
ensembl:misc_RNA